UAGGGAAUAUUGGGCAAUGGACGAGAGUCUGACCCAGCCAUGCCGCGUGCAGGAAGAAGGCCUUCUGGGUUGUAAACUGCUUUUGAUCGGGAACAAAAGAGCCCUUGCGAGGGAAGUUGAGUGUACCGAUAGAAUAAGCACCGGCUAACUCCGUGCCAGCAGCCGCGGUAAUACGGAGGGUGCAAGCGUUGUCCGGAUUUAUUGGGUUUAAAGGGUGCGUAGGCGGCUUUUUAAGUCAGUGGUGAAAGACAACAGCUCAACUGUUGCAGUGCCAUUGAUACUGAAGAGCUUGAGUACAGAUGAGGUAGGCGGAAUUUAUGGUGUAGCGGUGAAAUGCAUAGAUACCAUAAAGAACACCUAUUGCGAAGGCAGCUUACUAAGCUGUAACUGACGCUGAGGCACGAAAGUGUGGGGAUCAAACA
rnacentral:rRNA from 1 species